AGUGAACGCUGGCGGUAGGCCUAACACAUGCAAGUCGAAUGGCAGCACAGUAAGAGCUUGCUCUUACGGGUGGCGAGUGGCGGGCGGGUGAGGAAUACAUCGGAAUCUACUUUUUCGUGGGGGAUAACGUAGGGAAACUUACGCUAAUACCGCAUACGACCUACGGGUGAAAGCAGGGGAUCUUCGGACCUUGCGCGAUUGAAUGAGCCGAUGUCGGAUUAGCUAGUUGGCGGGGUAAAGGCCCACCAAGGCGACGAUCCGUAGCUGGUCUGAGAGGAUGAUCAGCCACACUGGAACUGAGACACGGUCCAGACUCCUACGGGAGGCAGCAGUGGGGAAUAUUGGACAAUGGGCGCAAGCCUGAUCCAGCCAUACCGCGUGGGUGAAGAAGGCCUUCGGGUUGUAAAGCCCUUUUGUUGGGAAAGAAAAGCAGCAGGUUAAUACCCCGCUGUUCUGACGGUACCCAAAGAGUAAGCACCGGCUAACUUCGUG
rnacentral:rRNA from 1 species